CACUCCUUAAGUCCCAAAAUAUGUGUCACUUUUCGUACCUCUAAGAGGUAAUUUGUAACACUCCAAACUUUCAGGCUAAGAUUUGAAUGUAUGUAACUAAACCCGAACCUGGUGAAAUUGAGUGUAUUUAGGUGUAAAGGUCAAUUCUUUUAAGUGUGGAAAGUGUUAUGGAUGUGGAUUAAAAGGCACUUGAGUCUAGUUUCCAGCGCCACCGGUCGUUUGUCAAUCCGAAGUAUGUGCGAAAAGGUAUGACCAUUUGAAUGGGCAUUGUGCAGUCCGCACAACCGCGCGGCGGAGGCAAUACUACCGUCAUUUCUGCGAGACCGUGCGAGGAAGACAGUGUGACCAGCUGCGCAAACAAGGCGCCAGUUGUGCGACCACGCACGAGAAAACACUACGAAAGGUCAAUUUCCCAAAAAUUUCAUUCUUCUCUCUUUCUUUUAAGCCCUAAGUUGGUUUUCUCUCCUCUGUUCAUCCUCCAACAUCACGGUUUCGAGGCGUAUGCUUGUGGUUCCUACAACAAUACCUGCUUCCACUAUUGAGAAAACAAAGCACGGCAGAGCGAAUUCUCAGCUUGGGAGUCCUCAUAGACAUUGUGGAUGAAGAACGGAUGCGAGAUACUCUGCCCACUGAUGAUCGCCCUUUACCACCUGUACUACUUCCAAAGACAGAUGACAACGAAGACUCAAAUCAAGAGGCUCCACAAGUUGAUGGAGAUACAUGGCAUGACCUUGCAUUGGAAAAUCAACGACAUUAAUGAUCAACCUCGUGUGUUUGAUUUGCAACCACUAUCGUCAUAUAUAUUUGCUGGUCAUGUACUUGAUUACCAUCGAUCGUUGUAUGAAAACUAAUUUCAACUGUUCUUUCUCUUGGUAUGUUGGUCAGUGGUGUGUUAGUCUAGUGGUAUGAGUGCAUCACAUGAUGUGUGGUUUAGCACACAUAAUGGGGUUUGAACCUUACCACACUUGUAUUUAAGUGGAGAAGGUUAGAGGGCCGAACCGUUUAUUCACAGAGUUUUGAACUUUGGAGCCGUUGAUCCUAGUUAUCUUGGCAAUCUAUGCUCUCUAAUGGAAUAGAUCCCGGGAAUGCCUGCUUGUUAACGGAUGUUAAGGUCAUUCCUACUCAUAGUUCGUACCAAA